rnacentral:tRNA from 1 species
UGGCUCAGAGGGUAAAGCGCCUGUCUGUAAUACAGGAGACCGGGGUUCGAUCCCUG